AAAUCCGCUGUGAUAAUGCUGGGAUGUGAUGGGGAGCGAAAUUUAGUAGCGAAGUAGCUGAUUUCACACUGUCAAGAAAGGUCUCUAUCGAGGUGAAAGGUACCCGUACCGCAAACCGACACAGGUGGGUGAGGAGAGUAGCCUAAGGCCAGCGAGAGAACUGUUGUUAAGGAACUCGGCAAAAUGACCCCGUAACUUAGGGAUAAGGGGUGCCACCAUCAGGUGGCCGCAGAGAAUAGGCCCAAGCGACUGUUUACCAAAAACA
rnacentral:rRNA from 1 species